rnacentral:rRNA from 1 species
UACAGAGGUCCCAAGCGUUGUUCGGAUUCACUGGGCGUAAAGGGUGCGUAGGUGGUGUGGCAAGUUCGGUGUGAAAUCUCCGGGCUUAACUCGGAAAUGGCACUGAAAACUGCCACGCUAGAGGGUUGGAAGGGAGACUGGAAUUCUUGGUGUAGCAGUGAAAUGCGUAGAUAUCAAGAGGAACACCAGUGGCGAAGGCGAGUCUCUGGACAACACCUGACACUGAGGCACGAAAGCUAGGGGAGCAAACAGG